CCUACGGGGGGCAGCAGUGAGGAAUAUUGGUCAAUGGGCGGGAGCCUGAACCAGCCAAGUCGCGUGAGGGAAGACGGUCCUAUGGAUUGUAAACCUCUUUAGGCGGGGAGCAAUGCCGGGCACGCGUGCCCGGAGGGAGAGUACCCGCAGAAUAAGCAUCGGCUAACUCCGUGCCAGCAGCCGCGGUAAUACGGAGGAUGCGAGCGUUAUCCGGAUUUAUUGGGUUUAAAGGGUGCGUAGGCGGAUUUUUAAGUCAGCGGUAAAAUGUCCGGGCUCAACCCGGGCCGGCCGUUGAAACUGGGGAU
rnacentral:rRNA from 1 species